rnacentral:rRNA from 1 species
AUUGAACGCUGGCGGCAGGCCUAACACAUGCAAGUCGAGCGGAUGAAGGGAGCUUGCUCCUGGAUUCAGCGGCGGACGGGUGAGUAAUGCCUAGGAAUCUGCCUGGUAGUGGGGGAUAACGUCCGGAAACGGGCGCUAAUACCGCAUACGUCCUUAGGGAGAAAGGGGGGGAUCUUCGGACCUCACGCUAUCUGAUGAGCCUAAGUCGUAUUAGCUAGUUGGUGGGGUAAAGGCCUACCAAGGCGACGAUCCGUAACUGGUCUGAGAGGAUGAUCAGUCACACUGGAACUGAGACACGGUCCAGACUCCUACGGGAGGCAGCAGUGGGGAAUAUUGGACAAUGGGCGAAAGCCUGAUCCAGCCAUGCCGCGUGUGUGAAGAAGGUCUUCGGAUUGUAAAGCACUUUAAGUUGGGAGGAAGGGCAGUAAGUUAAUACCUUGCUGUUUUGACGUUACCAACAGAAAAAGCACCGGCUAACUUCGUG